rfam:Schistosoma mattheei strain Denwood, Zambia genome assembly, scaffold: SMTD_contig0002076
AUCCAGCUAAUGAGUCUCAAACAGGAUGAAACGCGCGUCUUGCAU